GUGCCAGCAGCCGCGGUAAGACAGAGGUUGCAAACGUUGUUCGGAAUCACUGGGCAUAAAGCGCACGUAGGCGGUCUGUUAAGUCAGGUGUGAAAGCCCCCGGCUCAACCGGGGAACAGCAUUUGAUACUGGCAGACUCGAGGAUGGUAGGGGUGAGUGGAACUCCAGGUGGAGCGGUGAAAUGCGUAGAUAUCUGGAGGAACACCGGUGGCGAAAGCGGCUCACUGGACCAUAACUGACGCUGAGGUGCGAAAGCUAGGGUAGCAAACGGGAUUAGAUACCCCUGUAGUCC
rnacentral:rRNA from 1 species